UCCCGCGUGGUUUAGCGGCUAGGAUUCCUGGCUCUCACCCAGGCGGCCCGGGUACGACUCCCGGCGCGGAAG
rfam:Schistosoma mansoni strain Puerto Rico chromosome 2, complete genome